GAGACAGAGAAGUUUGGCUGUGUUGGGGUGUGCACUCUGCAGCGAAGCCGGUGAGAGCUAGUAGGAGUGGGUGGCAGAGUGAGAGGUGAUUGGAGGAAGGGAGUCAUGGGUGGGGCCCAUUGUGUCAGCCAAAGUGACAAA